rnacentral:rRNA from 1 species
ACGAAGGGGGCUAGCGUUGCUCGGAAUUACUGGGCGUAAAGGGCGCGUAGGCGGAUCGUUAAGUUAGAGGUGAAAGCCCAGGGCUCAACCUUGGAACUGCCUUUGAUACUGGCGAUCUGGAGUACGGGAGAGGUGUGUGGAACUCCGAGUGUAGAGGUGAAAUUCGUAGAUAUUCGGAAGAACACCAGUGGCGAAGGCGACACACUGGCCCGUUACUGACGCUGAGGCGCGAAAGCGUGGGGAGCAAACAGGAUUAGAUACCCUGGUAGUCCACGCCGUAAACGAUGAGUGCUAGUUGUCGGCAUGCAUGCAUGUCGGUGACGCAGCUAACGCAUUAAGCACUCCGCCUGGGGAGUACGGUCGCAAGAUUA